rnacentral:rRNA from 1 species
UACAGAGGGUGCGAGCGUUGUCCGGAAUCACUGGGCGUAAAGGGCGCGUAGGUGGUUGGGUAAGCGUGUGGUGAAAGCCCGGGGCUCAACCCCGGGUCGGCCAUGCGAACUGCCCGACUGGAGCACGGUAGAGGCCAAUGGAAUUCCGGGUGUAGCGGUGGAAUGCGUAGAGAUCCGGAAGAACACCGGUGGCGAAGGCGGUUGGCUGGGCCGUGGCUGACACUGAGGCGCGAAAGCCAGGGGAGCAAACGGG